rnacentral:rRNA from 1 species
CCUACGGGUGGCUGCAGUGGGGAAUAUUGGACAAUGGGGGGAACCCUGACCCAGCCAUGCCGCGUGUGUGAAGAAGGCCCUCGGGUUGUAAAGCACUUUCAGUGAGGAAGAACGCCUGGUGGUUAAUACCCAUCAGGAAAGACAUCACUCACAGAAGAAGCACCGGCUAACUCCGUGCCAGCAGCCGCGGUAAUACGGAGGGUGCGAGCGUUAAUCGGAAUUACUGGGCGUAAAGCGCGCGUAGGUGGCUUGAUAAGCCGGUUGUGAAAGCCCCGGGCUCAACCUGGGAACGGCAUCCGGAACUGUCAAGCUAGAGUGCAGGAGAGGAAGGUAGAAUUCCCGGUGUAGCGGUGAAAUGCGUAGAGAUCGGGAGGAAUACCAGUGGCGAAGGCGGCCUUCUGGACUGACACUGACACUGAGGUGCGAAAGCGUGGGUAGCAAACAGGAUUAGAUACCCUUGUAGUC